GCGCGCGACAUAUUUCGACCAAAAAGAAGAAGUUCAGUUCCCACGCUGACACGAUGUAGGACGGGCAGAGCAUGUACUGUGUGUGCUGUAUGUACCCUUCCGCAUCGUGCUGCAUCCACGUCACGGCUGAAUGUUUAAAUCCUCUCCCUGCUUUGAUCCCGGCGCUGACAGAGAUCCUCUGGAGAGCUCUCUGUGCUCCACAAGUGGCCCGCAGCAGAAGCAGGCUCAGUCAGAGGGAAGGGGAGGACGGACGUCAGGGGCUCGAGAUGAAGACAUCGGUCCAGAGCAUGGACCUAGCAGCCGACUUGGAACGCAUAAUCCAGGAGUUGGAGGGCGGACACGGGCCUGACCCAUACCGGGAGGUAAUUUGUGAAAUUUUGGGACACAUACCCAACCCUCCACCUCCCCCCCCUUCCCCUGCUGGGCCGGGGUUUAACUGCCACCAUCAGGCAGUGGACAUUGGCGAUGUCUCCCAACAGCUGCUGUGUGGUGACAGCAUCAUGCAGGCUGACGGUGGCCUGUACAGCCAGGGACAGUACCUGUCAUAUGAGAGGCCUGUUCACAAUGUCCGAGGACCCGCAGCCUGCUGUUCUCCUGCACAACCAGUGAGGCCCUGAGUUACCCCACGCAUACUGAACUUUGUCCUGUUCCACUUCAGAACUCCAAUACAAAAGUGGCACACUGGAAGUUUUUAAAUAGAAAGAUAGUUUGUCUGAACAAGGCGAUCUACAUGUAUGUCAGAGUGUCGUGGUGAUUGACAAGCAUAAGCACACUUUAGGAUUAAACUGAUAUAAUUCAAUUCAUCAGAACAUUAAAGUUCAGGUUUUAUUUCCCGGAAAAAAAGAAGAAAAAAAAAGCACAGUUACAGGAUGUAUCUACACCCCGGGCCUUCGACCUUUGACCCUCACACACUGCUGCAUGAUGGUUAUUUGCCUGCGCGUCAGUCAAACACUGACACCUGGUGGACAGAUGAUAGAGAGGGUGCCGCUUUACUCUUUACUGUGUGUGUGUGUGUGUGUGUGUGUGUGUGUGUGUUUUCUCCAGUAUGUGCCAAUGACGCUGCCUCAAGGGGCGAGUUCAACCUGCCUCAUGUGAAUGGAAUGCCGGUUUAUGUGCUCCCACCGGGAAUCUCCGUCACUUCUUUUGCGCCUGCUGCUCCUUCACAGAAAACCUUCAUGUCGAAGAAGAGAAAGUGUAACCAGAAGGAGGACAUGAGGCCGUACAUCAAGAAGCCGCCCAACGCCUUCAUGAUGUUCCUGAGGGAGCAGAGGCAAACCGUUGUCACCGAACGGAACCCCCACUCAACAGUGCGGAAGUCAACGCUGUCGUUGGUCAGAGGUGGAAGGCGCUGUCAAAUGAGGAGAAGAACAAAUAUUACGAGGAGGCGGACAGGGAGAGCCAGCUCCACGCUCAGCUGUUUCCUCAGUGGUCGUCCCGUGCCAAUUAUGGAAAGAAAAGAAAAAGGAUUCGGACAAAAUCUCGCUACCAGUGUUUAA
ensembl:lncRNA